rnacentral:lncRNA from 1 species
CCAGCCUGGGCAACAUGGUGAAACCCCGUCUCUACUAAAAAUACAAAAAAUUAGCUGAGUGUGGUUGUGGGCCCCUGUAAUCCCAGCUGCUUGGGAGGCUGAGGCAGGAGAAUUGCUUGAACCCAGGAGGUGGAGGUUGCAGGGAGUCGAGAUCGUGCCACUGCACUCCAGCCUGGGCAAUGAGAGCAAAACUCCAUCUCAAAAAACAAAAAAACAACAACAAAAUAAAGCCCUCUCUGUAGAGGAUGCGGAUUGCAGGCAGGCCCUUCAGUCCUUUUGCCCAAGCUUGCUUUUUUGUGGCUUUGGGUGCCAACCUUCUUGUGCUCCAGAGCAAGGGUCUGGGCUUUCUGGGUAGUGGAGAGGCCAGGAGGUGAUCUUUUGGGCCCUGCUGUCCUGGUCCGACUGCAUUCUUCCUUUGUUGGGCCCCUGGCAUUGGGCUACAGGGUCUCUGUAGAUGAGGGUGAAGGGAGCUCCUAGAAAGCUGGGCAUGGCCUGAGACUGGGGAGAUGGAAGCAAAGAGGGAAGUAUUAAUCAGAGACCAGCCCCAAAUCAGGCAGGAAAGAGGCA